AUUUUGCAGUGGAGGAAAUUAAGUCAGUGAAAUAGGCUUCUUUCUUUUUUGACCACUAAUGCCUAUAAUUUCCAGUAUUAAUAUCUUCUGACAUGAACACGAUAACAUGAAUCUACUAGAUAUAAACAGAUGUAACAGCCAUGGAAUCCAUUAGUGAUGCUUUCAGAAAAAGAAAUUUGGGAUCCCAGGAUCUGUCCCAACAUUUGUAAUAUCUUGGGAUAGGACCAGAAAUUAUGCAAGACUAAAUAGAAGGCAUGGAUGGUCUUGGACUUACAUAUGGACUCAACUUACUGAGGUGGUGGUGAAAUGGGGAGAGAGUGAAUGAGUCAAGAAUUGCAGAGACAAGAUCAAGAGGCCUUGGCAACUGCUUGGGAAGGGGAACAAAGUAGAGGGAGGAGCCUGAGAUGACACUGAAGUGGGGUGGAGGAGCAACUCACAGAACUAGGAGACAGGGAGGGGAAGCAGGUUGGAGGAAGAGUCCAUUCCAGACACGGUGAAGACGAGCUACCAGGAUUUGUUGGUAAUAUGGGAGAUUUGUUGGUAAUGCGAGAUUGAAGCUCAGGAGAGAAAACAGAUACUGGCUGAGCCAUGAUGGCGAGUAAGAUCAGCAAGUCAAAAAGUGUAGAGAGAGAAGAGAAGACAAAGGAACUUUGAGGAACACUCCCUUAGUGACUGGAGGAAGUACUUGGAGCCAGAGAAAGAAGCAGAGAAGGAGCAUCAGAGAGAAUGCAGACACUGGAGAAUGCCGUGUCGCAUUAAAGAGCUUUGGAAGGAGAGUGGCCCAUGGUGUCAAAUGUGAAGAGGAGCCUGAGAAGGAGUCCCUGAAGCCAAACUGGAAAGUCUCUGCUAGGUUGGUGCAAUGGACUGAAAGUGUGUGUCCCCCCACCCCACAAAUUCUUAUGUUGAAGCUCUAAUCCCAGUGUGAUGAUAUUAGCAGUUUGUGCCUUUAGGAGGUGAUAAGGUCAUGAAGGUGGAACCCUCAUGAAUGGGAUUUGUGCCCUUAUAAGAAAAGGUCAGAGAGUUAAUACACUCUCCCUCGUGAGGAUGUAAGAAGUCAGCUGUCUGUCACUGGAGGAAACCCUCACCCGAACCCAACCAUGCCAGCACCUGUUCUCUGAUUUCCGGCCUCCAGAACUGUUAAAUUUGAUUCAGAUAAUUUAAGAAAACUGUGAGAAAUAAAUUUCUGUUAUUUAUAAGCCACCCAGUAUAUUACUCUUCAUUACAGCAGCCCAAAGGGACUAAGAAGGUUGGGCUUCCCUCAUUUAGGAGAGAUUCCUCAGAAGCAGUCUUGUGCAGUCGACUUAUUCCAGAAGACAUCUCUGAGGGUGUGGGGGGCAGCAGGACGGGGAAAGGUGUAGUACACUGGAAGAGGCAUAUCAUGGCUAUAAGAUUAAUGGCAGCCAUAAGGCCCACUCAUGCAUCUUGCAGGGCUGGUACUACUGGUCACUUGGUAGUAUGCUACAACCUGACCUGGAGAUUUCCAACUCUGGUCCAUGGAUUUCCAGGAGACAAGGCCACCUCAGCAUAGAUGCAACUUUCAUAAAUCAUAAAACAAAGCUUACUCUUACAAGAAUAGCUUCAACUCCAUUUAUGAAAGAAACACUUUGUAACUGAGGUAAUUGACCUGGACUGAAUGCAGGUAUAAGAAAGGGGGAAGGAUCCCCCAAACUCUGAGAACAGUCUCCAGAUGGAGACCCUCUCUGUCAUUUGUCAUCUGAUCCCCUGACUGUAUCUAGCCCAUGCCACCAGCCUGCUCCUGUCUUAUAAAAGUGCUGCCAGAAUAAAUUCCUUGAGCAUUAGACAGUGUCUAAGACUCAUGUCUGAUGCAAAUCUAACUGAAGGGGAAAUAUCACUCUUGGAGAAGCUGGUUAACUCAGACCACUCGAAAACCCCCAACACAACAAAAGCACAGCAGGUAAGCAAGGUGCAAUUUCCAGCAAGUCCCAAGGAGGGGAGCUCCAGGCUGACCCUGCAGUGGGUGCUCUGGGCUUGCAUUAGUCAAGGUUCUCCAGAGAAACAGAACUAAUAGGAUAUAUAGAUGCUCCUCAACUUACAAUGGGGUCACAUCUUGAUAAACCUGGCAUAAUUUGAACAUAUUAUAAGUAAAAAAAAAAAAAAUGCACUUAAGGGGCCAGGUGUGUUGUCUCAGGCCUGUAAUCCCAGAACUUUGGGAAGCCAAGGCAGACAGAUCACCUGAGGUGAAUAGUCUGAGACCAGCCCAGUCAACAUAAUGAUAUCCCACCUCUACUAAAAACAGAAACUAACUGGGUGUGGUGGCACAUGCCUAUAAUCCCAGCUGCUCAGGAGGCUGAGGCAGGAGAAUCACUUGAACCCGGGAGGCGGAGGUUGCAGUGAGCUGAGAUUGCACCACUGCACUCCACCCUGGGCGAGAGUGAGAUUUUGUCUCAAAAAAAAAAAAAAAAAAAAAAAAAAGCACUUAAUACACACGACCUACCUGAACAUAAUAGCUUAGCCUAGUCUACCUCACACGCGCUCAGAACACUUACUCUAGCCUACAGUUGGGCAAAAUGAUCUAACACAAGCUUAUUUUAUACUAAAGUGUUGACUAUCUCAUGUAAUUUAUUGAAUACUAUACUGAAUGUGAAAAACAGAAAAUGGUUGUAUGAGUACUCAAAGUAUAAUUUCUACUGAAUGCCUAUUGCCUUUGCACCACUGUAAAGUAAAGAAAUUGUAAAGUCGAGCCAUUAUAAGUCAGGCACAGUCUCUCUCUCUCUCUCUCUCUCUCUCUCUCUCCCUCUGUCUGUCUCUGUCUCUCUCUCUCUCUGUAUACAUAUAUGUGGAAAUUUAUUAUAAUAAUUGGCUCACAUGAUUAUGGAGGCCAAGAAGUCCCACAAUUUGUUGUUUGCAUCGUGGAGAACCAGGAAAACCAGUGUUGUAAUUCAGUCUGAGUCCAAAGGCCUGAGAACAGUGGAGACAAUGUUGUAACAUAUAAUCCAAGUCCAAAGGUCUAAGAAGUAGGGGGCAGUUGGUAUAAGUCCCAAAGUCCAAAGGUCUGAUAACCAAGAGCUCUGAUGUCCAAGGGCAAUGGAUGUUCCACUUCAAGAGAGAGAUAAUGCCCUCUUCCUCUGCCUUUUUGUUCUAUCUGAGCCCUCAAUGAAUAGAUUAAUGCCCAUUCACAUUGAGUGAGGUUGGAUCUUCUUUACUCAGUCUGUGAUUCAAAUGCUAAUCUGUUUACCAGCUCUCUGUUUUACCAGCUAUCUGGGCAUCCCUUAGCCCAGUCAAGUUGACACCCAACAUUAAUCAUCACAAAGUUGUCUUAGUGCAUUUUAGUGUGUUACAGUGUUACAGGCUCACACCUGUAAUCCCAGCACUUUGGGAGGCUGAGAUAGGUGGAUCGCUUGAGGUCAGGAGUUCGAGACCAGCCUGGCCAACAUGGUGAAACCCCAUCUCUACUAAAAAUACAAAAAUUAUCUGGGCAUAGUGGCCCAUGCCUGUGGUCCCAACCACUCAGGAGGCUGAGGCAGGAGAAUCGCUUGAACCUGGGAGGCAGAGGUUGUGGUGAGCCGAGAUCAUGCCACUGCACUCCACUCUGGGUGACAGAGUGAGAUUCCUUCUCAAAAAUAAAAAUAAAAAUAAACUAUGUAAAAAAAAAAAAAAGAAGGUAGUGAAUGAAACAGAACAACACCCCAGGGUAGAGAACAGUACCCUGGGGAAGCCUCCAUCCUUCCUAGCUGAGCAAACAAGGCAAUCUUGACUUGCCAGCAAUGUGAGACAGGGAGAGAAGAUCCCCUAUUCUCUUGUACUGGGUUCCAUCCCAUCUCCACAAUGCCUGGCAAAAGUGCUAAUGGAAAGGUCUGAAGCUUUCUGUGCCAUGCUUUGCCCAUGAGCAAUAAUUACAAAUGUGUAUGGCCCAGGGCAGUUUCCAGAGCAUUUUCCUGGAUUUUCUAAUUUAAUGGCUGUGACAACCCCAUGACAUCAAUGUUAUUAUUGCACCUUUAUGAAUGAGGAAACAGGCUCUGAUAAGUAACUU
rnacentral:lncRNA from 10 species